UUCCGGUUGAUCCUGCCGGACCCGACUGCUAUCAGAGUGAGAUUAAGCCAUGCGAGUUAACGUAGCAAUACGUGGCGCACGGCUCAGUAACACGUAGUCAACAUGCCCAGAGGACGUGGAUAACCUCGGGAAACUGAGUCUAAGCCGCGAUAAGUGAGGAUUACUGGAAUGGAUCCUGACUAAAAUCUAUAUGGCCUCUGGAUUGGACUGCGGCCGAUCAGGCUGUUGGUGAGGUAAUGGCCCACCAAACCUGUAACCGGUACGGGCUCUGAGAGGAGGAGCCCGGAGAUGGGCACUGAGACAAGGGCCCAGGCCCUAUGGGGCGCAGCAGGCGCGAAACCUCUGCAAUAGGCGAAAGCCUGACAGGGUUACUCUGAGUGACUUUCGCUAAGAAAGUCUUUUGGCACCUCUAAAAAGGGUGCAGAAUAAGGGGUGGGCAAGUCUGGUGUCAGCCGCCGCGGUAAUACCAGCACCCCGAGUGGUCGGGAGAAAUUAUAGCACCUAAAGCAUCCGUAGCCGGUUCUGCAAGUCCUCCGUUAAAUCCAGCUGCCCAACAGAUGGGCCGCGGAGGAUACUACAGAGCUAGGAGGCAGGAGAGGCAAGCGGUACUCAGUGGGUAGGGGUAAAAUCCGUUGAUCCAUUGAAGACCACCAGU
rnacentral:rRNA from 1 species